CGCCGGGAAGCCAGCGCGGUCCGUUCCGCCCGACUCUAACAUGGCGGCGCCUUCUGUCUGCCCUUAAGUGCCGUCCCGCCUUCUCGCGGCCGUGACGCCCUCCGCUGCCGUGGGCUCCGGGACACGGCGGGUGAGGGUCAGCAAGCACCGGGGCCGGGGGCGUCCCAGGAGUCGGGCGGAGGCGGCGGAGGAUGCGGCGCGGCGGGCCGCCGGGGACGUUUGUGUGUGGGAGGGGAGGGCAGCGGACUGGGACCGGACCCGGGACUGAGGGGACCCCGCACAACACGAGGGUGCGGGGCGCUGCCCGCCGAGCGGGGCCGAGGACACAGGCCUGUGAGGCCCUGGAGGAGCUGGUCAUGGUGGAGACCGAUGCUGCGCCCGUGGGAUCACUUCAUUCUUUCGUUCGCUCCGCCAGCGGUGGCUCAGCUCCUCGUGGAUUAUGAGGGUGGAGCGAGUGACCCAGACCGGCGUCGCGGUUACAAAGUGUAGGCUGUGGAGCCAAGCAGCCGGGUUUGAAUCCUGUCUCGGUGCUUGCCAACUGUGUUCUCAGGUAGUGAGCUGGAGGAGGAGAGCCAAGCUGGAGUUUCCCUGGACAAGCUAUCGGAACAGAGUAGCCUGGGCUUCUUGGAAAUCUGAGUGUGUCCCCAAGCCCCCGCCUCUGGCAUACAACCAAAGGAGGAGUCACGACUGUUCCACUGCUGGAGGGAAAGCUGGCUGAGAGACCCGUUCUGUCCCCAGUGCGACUGGACUGCUGACUCUGACGGUGGCUCAGUGGUACAGAAUCCAGCUGCCAAUGCAGGAGACGCAGGAGUGGCCCUGGAGGAGGAGAUGGCACCCCACUCCCUUAUCUCGCCUGGGAAAUCCCAUGGACAGAGGAGCCUGGCGGAUUACAGUCCAUGGAGUCACGAAGAGUUGGACACGGCUGAGCACGUGUGCACUCACAGUGCAGCAGGAAACGCCAGAGGCCUGUCCAGAAGCGUGUGGAGCACAGGAGGAUGCCUGACGUUGCACGGCUCUGUGAGGUGGUGAAGAGCCACGGUACACCACGUGCUUCGGAGUGCGUUAGAAAGGCCCCCGCAGAUUGAGCCGUGAGGACUCCAGGGUCAGGUGUGUAUCUCUGCUUCCCGGGUUAGAGGCUCUCUGUCCUGAGGGCCAGUCACUCCCUUGUCGCUCCUCAGUUUCCUCAUCUGUGAAAUAGCGGCAAUGUCGUUGACUCCAGAGAACGGUCUUGAGAAUGCCGGGAAAUCCAGCAUGCAGUUCACAGGGCCUGCUGUGUGCGAGUCGGUGUCCUCCUGCCGCACGGUGCGGGUUGGUUCGAAGCCAGAGAGAUUGGUUCGCACAGCAGUCACAGAAGCCCAACCUCCGGGGAGGCCAGGCUGUGGUCUGUCCAUCUUGAGGCAGGUUGUCCAGAUUGGACUCAGAGGAUCAGGGACUGCUCUGCACACCCCCUGUUUUUCUCAGGAGUUCCACCAAGCUUUCUAAUUGAAGUGGUCUGUCCAGAUUCUCAGAGGCUGUCCUCUGAAAGGGCUGCUGAGGGGUCCUUUGGGAAGGAAAGGAUUCCCUCUGCCUGGUUAACUCCUUCAAGCGCAAAUGCUUCUGGGAAACGUUCUCCCAGUCCUACCCACCCUUCCCACCCCCUCCUCAGCUGACUUUGAGCUCCUCCUCUGUGACCUCCUGGCAUCCUUCUGUGAUCUAGCAGUACGCUCUUACCUGCUGUGAUGUUACGGGUCUCCUUGCCUGUCCGCCUGUGAGGCUGCGAGCAGCUCACGUGCAGGCACAGGGCCUUGUCUCUCCAGGUACUCCCUCUGUGUGGGUCAUUUCCUGGCACGGAGCUGGUGCUCAGUAAACAAUGGGCUCAGCCAGUGGGGCCAGAGAGACCUCCAGUGUGAUGAGGGUUUGGCAUGCUGUUGAUGAAGAGAGGACUCAUGAUGAUUUCCUUGGUAUCUGUGUGAAAUAUGGCAUGCGAACAUGGUGAACUAUGACCUAAAGUACGAAAGUUUGGGUCAGAGACCGUUUCUCUGUCUUUCUGUCCUUUUCCAGUAGAGCAGUUUCUCAGCUCUGACGUGGUGCCGUUUGGGGCUUGGUGAGUCUUUGUUGUGGGGCUGUCUCGUGCACUUUGGGGUGCGGAGCAGCACCCUGGGCCUCUGCCCACAGGUGCCAGCAGCCCCCGUCUACCUCCAGCUGUGAUAAAUGGAAACGUCUCCAGAGGAGGCCAUGUGUCUCCAGAGCAGAAUUGCCCUCAACUAAGAACCUCUGAGGGCUUCCCACAUGGCUCAGUGGUAAAGAAUCCACCUGCCAGUGCAGGAGAAGUGGGAUCGAUCCCUGGAUCAGGAAGAUCCUCUGGAGAAGGAGACGGUAACCCACUCCAGUACUCUUGCCUGGAGAAUCCCAAGGACAGAGGAGCCUGGUGGGCUGCAGUCCAUGGGGUUGCAGAGUCGGACACACCGGAGCGGCUAGACACAAAAACCAACAGAGAAUCUCUGGGCUGCUGGUUAGAAGCAUGAACGUCUAAGUCCAAGACACUUGAGCCGAGCAUACCUGGUCCUUGUACUUACUAGCUGUGUGGCUUUGGACAAAGUACUUGACCUCUCUAAGCCUCCGUUUCCUCGGGUGUGUAGUGGGAAUAAUGAUGACCUCACGCUAGCUUUAUGGGGUGGAAUUAUUAAUGAGGUAAUGCGUGUAAAAUGCUUUAUCUAGCCUUUGAGUCCACAGUUGGUAUCGAGUGGUACCAUGUGUUAGGAGAGGGUGAUCUAACAACAGCCUAUGAGGGUCAAGAGAGCAAGCGUGCAGAGUUGAGGAAGAAAAAUGCUUAGGGUGGGGAAGUGAGUGGCCCUCUCAGGUCUGACCCGGUUCCUGUCCCAGAUGACUGUUAACGGUGUCUGUGUGUCCUGCCCGGGCCCUUCUGUGCAUGUGUGUGUCUGUUUGUGUGUAUAGGGGAGACACUUUGAACAGUGUCACGUGGCUUGAUUUUGCCGCACGUGAACUGAGCCUUCAGUCUAGAAUGCCGAAAGGGCAGCCUCUGUGGGCAGAGCUGCAGUUGGAACAGUUUGCCACAAAAAAGACCUAGGUGCCCCACUCUGUACCGUCCUGGAAUUCCCUCGAGGACGGUGCCACACGGGUGGCAGAGGUUCUCAGACCUGGUGAAUGGCAGGGUGACGGACAUCACCAGAGGAAGGGACCCCAACCUCACGGAAAUGAAAACCUCCAAGCACAUUUAGUGCACAGAGCAUAUCGUCCCAGAGACCGUAAUUUACCACAAUCUACUUUCGCCAGCCGCAUUUUUAAAUGAUUGCAAUAAUAGAGGUCACAAGACUAGGCAUUUUAGCAGCGAGUGAUUUUAGCAUUUGCUCCAGGUGUCUGGCACUCUCGGAGGUCCUCGUGGGUAUCAGUAGCUUAACAGUCUGAGGGCGCCUACGUUGACCUCAAUGAUGCAGUCACAGAUGCUACAGAAAGCCCGGGCGUGGGCUCUUACGUUCACACCCGCUUGUUAGGAGAGAUCAGCCUGGAGCUUCAAAGGAAGGAAGCGGAGGGCACGGUUAGAGGUGAGAGUUGCUCAUUCACGUGUGCAGAGGCUCAGAUGUGGCAGCGCCUGCUGGGAGUCUCAUUCACGUGUGCAGAGGCUCAGAUGUGGCAGCUCCUGCUGGGAGUCUCAUUCACGUGUGCAGAGGCUCAGAUGUGGCAGUGCCUGCUGGGAGUCUCAUUCACGUGUGCAGAGGCUCAGAUGUGGCAGCUCCUGCUGGGAGUCUCAUUCACGUGUGCAGAGGCUCAGAUGUGGCAGCGCCUGCUGGGAGUCUCAUUCACGUGUGCAGAGGCUCAGAUGUGGCAGCGCCUGCUGGGAGUCUCAUUCACGUGUGCAGAGGCUCAGAUGUGGCAGCUCCUGCUGGGAGUCUCAUUCACGUGUGCAGAGGCUCAGAUGUGGCAGCUCCUGCUGGGAGUCUCAUUCACGUGUGCAGAGGCUCAGAUGUGGCAGCGCCUGCUGGGAGUCUCAUUCACGUGUGCAGAGGCUCAGAUGUGGCAGCGCCUGCUGGGAGUCUCAUUCACGUGUGCAGAGGCUCAGAUGUGGCAGCGCCUGCUGGGAGUCUCAUUCACGUGUGCAGAGGCUCAGAUGUGGCAGCUCCUGCUGGGAGUCUCAUUCACGUGUGCAGAGGCUCCGAUGUGGCAGCGCCUGCUGGGAGUCUCAUUCACGUGUGCAGAGGCUCAGAUGUGGCAGCGCCUGCUGGGAGUCUCAUUCACGUGUGCAGAGGCUCAGAUGUGGCAGCUCCUGCUGGGAGUCUCAUUCACGUGUGCAGAGGCUCCGAUGUGGCGGCUCCUGCUGGGAGUCUCAUUCACGUGUGCAGAGGCUCAGAUGUGGCAGCUCCUGCUGCGAGUCUGCCGAAAGCAGCCCUGGUGGUUCGUUGUCACAGCAGAAAUGUACUCAGCUUCUGGUCUUAAAAGGUCUGGCAGUAGAACUUGUUCCCCCUACCCCACCCACCCCACUUCCUCUACUGACCCGAUUCAUCUAAGCACUGCCUUUCCUGUCCUGAGUGGAAGGCUCCAGGGCCCAGUGGGAAGUUGUCUCCAGCUCAGGAGCCUGGCUGGUGAAACAUUUCUCAUCUCUGUAGGCUCAGGGCUGGGUGGGCCCCUGUCAGGGACUUUCCUGGUUGAGUGUAACUCAGUCAGCUGCCCAAGUUAAUGCUUCAAAUCAUGGCCUAAAGUCAGAAAUAACAUUGGUUAAUUUUGUAAGCUGUCUUGUUAAAUAUUGAGUAGAUACAAAAGCAUAUAUGCCACCUGAAGGAUAAGCAUUCAAGGAACACCCACAGUCACCAAGUUUGCACAGAAGAAUCUGCCAUCACCUUUGAAGUGCCCUCCCUGAGCCCGCCCCACUCCCACCCCACGCAUUUGUUUCCAGUAUUUUGCUGAGACAGCCAGUGAUACUGUGGCCAUUCCUGGGGUGCACGUGUGCAGCCUGUCAGGACGCACCCCAGGGAGAAGGACUGCAUCCUGGAGUGUGCGCACCUUCAGUUUGUCUAAAUGGAGCUACACCAGGUCGUUUCCAGACUGGUUUCCCCAGUUUACAGCUCAAGUGACGAUCUGCCCGCUUCACAGCCUCUGAACAGCAGUGUUGUCAGAUUUAAGCUUUUUGCUAAUCUGUUGGCAGCUCAGUGAUACCUCACAUUCUUCAUGGUUAUUAGUGGGUUGAGCAUCUUUUCAUGCACUAAUGGAUCGUUCAGCUUUUAGCUUCUCUGAAACAGCUGCUUAAGUCUUUUCCCUCAUUGUUUUAUUGAAUUGCCUUUUUAUUAUACAGAGGCGCCCCCCUCUCCCCCCGAAACUAUCCACUUCCCGUCUGUGGCUUGUCUUUUUGCUCUAGUGUUUUUUUAAUGUACAGAAAUUCUUAAUUUUAAUGUCAUUUAUUAACUUUUUUCUUAAUAGUUAGCACUUAUUAUUUAAGAACUUCCUCCCUACUUCAAGUUUAUAAAGAUAUUUCCCCAUA